GAAGGGUACUGGGGAGGGUGGGGUGGGCGCUCUCCGCGGGUGCAGGUUUUCCGGAGAGGAAUGUCAGGCACUGCCUGUGAGGGGUGCAUCGCCCGGUGAUCUGCUAGAGCAUCUCGAGAUAAAGCACUUCGUGCUGUAUUCUGUUUUUACUGCAGGCGGGGGGCAGAGCUCUGGACUGCCGUGAGGUGCUUCAUGCCAUCUCAUUUUGUCUACUGAGCUUAACUCUGUAAGCAAAAUAGUAAAACCAAGCUUCCAUCUCUUGCAUCAGAGAAGCUGGAAACCUUGUAAAUAACAGCAAAUGGAUUAUAUAACCUGCUCUAAAUUAAAGAAUCAGUCGGUCUCUUCUUAUCAUCACAUACGUCUUUUUGGGAUGGGUUGAGGACCCCCUACCGAAAGAAACAGAGCUGUAAGUGUAAAAAAAAAACAAAACAAAAACCUGCCUAAGGAAAUCAGCUGUUGGUGUGGAUCACUGGCUAGCAUAAGACAGAACAGGAGAUAGAAAAGGAGGAGAUUUGUGUCUGUCAGCUGCCAAAUAAGGAAGAUGGAGCAGCCUGUCCACACAAAAGAGCUGUUAGCCAGUAAAGCUAAGAAUACAUUAAAUGUCUGGUACAUCAUGGGCAUUUGUUUGAAGCUCUACAUUCAAAUCUCUACUUCUACAUUCUGAACCUGGCAUUUACUGGGGAUGCUGCCUGGAUGUGUAGAGAUGGGAUCAGGAAAGCCAAGGCACAGUUGGAUUUGGCAAAGGAUUUGAAGAAUAAUAAGAAGGGCUUCUACAGGUGUGUUGGGCAGAAAAGGAGGAUGAAAGAAAAUGCACACGCCACACACACAGCAUACCCCCUCUCCCCGAUAAAUAGGACAGGAGAACUAGUGGCAACUGUCAAGGAGUAGGCUAAGGUACUCAGUAAUUUUUCUGCCUCAGUUUUCAAUGGUAAUCUCUCUUCCCACAUCUCUCAAGCCCCUGAAGCUCAAUACAGGGACGGGGGAAUGAAGUCCCUCCCAUUGUAAUUGAAGAUCAGGUUCAGGACCACCUGAAGAACCUGGACAUAAACAAGUCCAUGGGGGCGGAUGAGAUGCAUUCCAGGGUCCUGAAGGAAUUGGCUGAUGUAGUUGCCGAGCCACUCUCAAUCGUAUUUGAAAAGUCAUGGCAGUCAGGCAAAGUCUCCAGCGACUAGAAAGAGGGAAACAUCACACCCAUUUUAAAAAAGAAGGACCCUAGGAACUACUGAACAGUCAGCCUCACCUUUGUGCAUGAUAAGAUCAUGGAAGAGAUCCUCUUGGAAGACACAUCAAAACAUACAGAAGACAGGGAGGUGAUUAAAGACAGCCAACAUGGCUUCACCAAGGGCAAAUCGUGCCUGACUAAUCUUGUGGCCUUCUACAAUGGAGUGACUGCAUCUGUGAACAAGGGAAGAGCUAUGGAUGUCAUCUACGUGGACUUCUGUAAGCCCUUCGAUAUGGUCCCCCACAACAUUCUUGCUGCUAAAUUGGAGGCAGAUGGGUUUGAUGGAUGGACUGUUAGCUGGACAAGAUAUUGGCUGAAUGGCCGCAUCCGAAAACUUACAGUUAAUGGCUCGAUGUCCAAGUGGAAAGCAGAAACAAGUCGUGACCCUCAAGGGUCCGUACUGGGGCCAGUACUAUUUAAUAUCUUCAUCAAUGACACACGUAGUGGGACUGAGUGCAUCGUCAGCAACUGUGCGGAUGACACCAAGCUGAGUGGUGCAUUCAGUUCUGUAGAGAGAAGGGAUGCCACCCCGUGGGACCUUGACAGGCUUACGGAGAGGGCCAGUGUGAAUCUCAUGUAGUUCAACAAGGCCAAGUGCAAGGUCCGGCACCUGGAUCAGGGCAAUCCCCAGUAUCAAUACAGACUGGAGGAUGAAUGGACUGAGAGCAGCCCUGUGAGAUACUGGUGGAUGAAAAAUUGGGCAUGAGCCAGCAAUGUGCACUCGCAGCCCAGAAAGCCAGUUGUAUCCUGGGCUGCAUCAAAAGAAAUGUUGCCAGCACAUCAAGGGAGGUGAUUCUCCCCUCCUUCUCCGCUGACAUGAGGCCCCACCUGGAGCACUGCAUCCAGAUCUGUGUCCCCAGUACAAGCAGGACAUGGACCUGUUAGAGUGGGUCCAGAGGAGGGCCAUGAAAAUGAUCAGAGGGCUGGAACACCUCUCCUGUGAGGAAAGGCUGAGACUUGGGGUUUUUCAGCCUAUACAGGAGAAGGCUCCAGGGAGACCUUGUUGUGGCCUUUCAAUACUUAAAGGGGGCUUAUAAGAAAAGACAGGGAGAUACUUUUUACCAGGGCCUAUAGUGACAGGACAAGGGGCAACAAUUUUAAACUGUAAAGAGGGCAGAUUUAGAUUGAAUGUAAGGAUGAACAACUUUACUAUGAGGGUGGUGAGAUACUGGAGCAGGUUUCCCAGAGAAGCUGUGAAUGCCCCGUCAUUGGAGGUGUCCAAGGCCAGGUUGGAUGGGACUUUGAGCAACCUGAUCUAGUGGAAGGUGUCCCUGCCAUAGCAGGGAUUUGGAACUAUAUGAUCUUUAAGGUCCCUUCCAACCCAAAGCAUUCUAUGAUUCUAUGAUUCAUUCUUAUUCCAGACUUAAGCCCCAAGAUCAGAAUUACUGUGGUGCACUAUAUUUCAUAGGCAGUGAUACAUUCAGUAAAAACAUGAGAACUCGUGUUCUGGAAAUGGGCUUCACAAUUGGCGAGUACAUGAUCUAUCCCCUAGGCUGGUCAGUUCAAGCCUUGUGAAGAGUAUUAUUUCUGGUUAUAUGCUCUGUGUGAUCUUUUUCUGAAAUAGUUCCCUACAUGUAUUGGAAAUGCUUCUGGUAAAUGCUGUAUAGUUUCCUAAUUUUUUUUGUGUUUCCUUGCUGGUAGUAGAUGUCAUUAUAGCAGGGAGAGGCAGCCUGCUUACAUACAGGCACUACUGUGUCACAAAUAAGAUAUCCCUUUGGGCCAUCCACUCUAAUGUAAGAGUGUUUUUUUGUUGGUUUGGGGUCUUUUUGGUCUAAAGAUUGUGUUGGAGUGCCAUGCACAGCGUGUGUCUGUUUUCCCAUUCUUUUAACAAGAUUAUCCAUGUCUUUCAGUUGUGUCUUUUCUUGGACAGGAGAACAGGACAGGACAGGACUGGCUAUCAUUCUUGUUUUGAAACUGAACAAGCAUAUAGCCCCAAAGGUAAUUAGAUGCCUUAUUUCCUUUGGUGCUCUGAAUUAAUAUCUAAACACCUUUGUGACUGUAUGAAAAGGUCUGUGAUUUCUGCACAAAUCCAGUUUGUCUUAAGCUUGUAAUGCACUUAGCAGUUGCACAGAAUUUCUACCUUUUAAAUCCCAUCUGUAAUAAGCUUGCAGGAGUUUCUUGGGAGGUCCUACCUAGUAGAAUGUGAAAAAGACAUUUUUGGCUACAUCCAGUGGAAGUACCAAGAACCAAAGGAUUGGAGUGAAUAUUUGCGUGUGUAGGUUUGUUACCUAAUGGCACAUUUUUGUAGCUUUUUAUGCACAGGCAUACUUGAGAUCAAGUGCAAAAAUUGUGUGUUAUGCUUUAAAGCAGGUCCUUCAUGGCACCAGGGUAGUGUGUAUAAUAAAGAUUAA